rnacentral:misc_RNA from 1 species
GUCACAAAUUAUACCCAAUGCAUAUAAGCUGUCAAGUUCCUAGGUGGCUGUUAACUAGAUUUAGGAAUGAAUUUCCAGUUGUUUUCUUGGCUUUGGAACUAAAUAAUUCUCACUGAUAAAGAGCUCCUAUGAUAAUUGGAUGACACUUGAAUCUUAAUUUCCUUUAUAAUUUGAAACUUGUAUAUAUUGCUUUGGUCAUCCUAAAAUGCCUAUGCUCCUCAACCAUUAACAGUACCAACUAAUUUUACUUUUGUAGCACCAAAUGCUUCUGUUACUGUGGUUCUCUCUUGUGAGUGCCUCAGCCUGUAAUAUGCCAACGUGUUGCCCAAAAUCUAAUUCUUUUGUCUGUAUGAAUUUGUAACUGACCGCUUGAAUUUAUGUUGAGUACAAUGUUUUUGGUAUUCCCCCAACCCCAA